rnacentral:rRNA from 1 species
UACGUAGGGGGCAAGCGUUUGUCCGGAUUUAUUGGGCGUAAAGAGCUCGUAGGUGGUUCGGUAAGUCGGAUGUGAAAUCUCCAGGCUCAACCUGGAGGGGGUCAUUCGAUACUGCCGUGACUAGAGUUCGGUAGGGGAGUGUGGAAUUCCUGGUGGAGCGGUGAAAUGCGCAGAUAUCAGGAGGAACACCCGUAGCGAAGGCGGCACUCUGGGCCGAUACUGACACUGAGGAGCGAAAGCGUGGGGAGCGAACAGG